rnacentral:misc_RNA from 1 species
AAGUCGUAACAAGGUUUCCGUAGGUGAACCUGCGGAAGGGUCAUUAACACGUAUCCAAACGUUAACCCCCCUGUGAACCUUUAGUGUGCUCGUACGCUUUGUCAGAGCGUGGCAAUCCCUAGUAAAUCAUCGCCGAACAGUUUUCGAUUUAGGGACUUCCACAAAGAGUGAAAGUGUCACUGGCUGUGUAAGGAUGGCGCAGUCACGAUCGUUGGAGGCCGACACGGCCGACGACCGGGUCACCGGGCUCACGCCCCUUAAUCACAACUUAAUGCAUGUCAGACGCGCCUGCGCUUAAUUGUGCGGCGACCAUAAAACUCGAACAACUGUUAACAAUGGAUAUCUUGGUUCUC